rnacentral:rRNA from 1 species
GUUUGAUCCUGGCUCAGAGCGAACGUUAGCGGCAGGCUUAACACAUGCAAGUCGAGCGAGAAAGGGGCUUCGGCUCCGAGUAAAGCGGCGGACGGGUGCGUAACACGUGGAUAAUCUGCCUCGUGGCGGGGGACAACAGUCCGAAAGGACUGCUAAUACCGCAUGUCAGGUCGGAAACUCCGGUUUCUGACGAAAAAGAGGGCGCCCGCAAGGGGCUCUCACCACGAGAUGAGUCCGCGUCCCAUCAGCUAGUUGGCGGUGUAAUAGACCACCAAGGCUUAGACGGGUAGCUGGUCUGAGAGGAUGACCAGCCACACUGGGACUGAGACACGGCCCAGACUCCUACGGGAGGCAGCAGUGGGGAUAUUGGACAAUGGGCGAAAGCCUGAUCCAGCCAUGCCGCGUGAGUGAUGAAGGCCUUCGGGUCGUAAGACGUCUGUGGGAGGGACGAAAA